rnacentral:sRNA from 1 species
CUGCACGCAUCCGCUACACGCGACCUGCUCGACGCUACGAACCCCAUCGAGCUCGAACAUGUUGCGCCUCAGGUCUCAGGCCGGUAAAAAGUGAAAUUUUCUCCCCACCACAACCUGGCCUGGUGGGAGCUUCGAACAUGCCUGUUUGCCUGUUGCGCGUUGCAAGAGAUCACAUUGCCGUGUUGAGUAAUCAGCAAUCUGGAAAUCGUUCUGAGCCUGCACAUUUGAAACUAGAACGUGAUUGCCGCACAAACAGUGGCGGGGCGGGAGGGAGCUGGGCGGCCAUCGCUCUUGACUCGAGCCCCAACCAGCAUAAGCUGGUCUGGGGCCUGUGGUGACGUAAGCGUCUUACAAAAAAAAAUUUGGAGAGUAAACACAUUAUUAAUAAUCGAGAAUGGCAUUACAUACAGGGGUACCAGGUGGAGUUAUUUUACAAUGGUGAUCGACUUUGAUAAUGCAUCUGAACCCAGAAAACCCUAGGCGUUCCAAUGGAUCACGUGGCUUUGAAACUUUGGAUAUUUACAAGCGAGUCUCCCUCCGAUAAGGUAUACAGUGGCGUCGAUAUCUCUGCAGCCACCACACUGUCUGGUAUGCAAUUACAAAACGACUCUCCGACUUAUAUAAAUCAUAAUUAAACUCUUAACGCUUUAGCGAUACGGUUAUCAGUAGGGGGGUGGAGACCAGGGGGAUCAUUAACUUAGUUGCAGUUCAAAACAAAGAGGGAAGUACGGCUACGGCUACGGCUACGACUACGGCUACGGCGGAACAGAGUCUAACAGCUAGGCAAACAAUGACACUUCACUGGACAAACACGGUGUAAAAAGUAAGGUCGGGAGACGUUAUGUAAGUUCCGCUCUUUCCACUACCCUAACAAUGGACUCAAUAAACUGGCAAAUAAAUAAAAACAAAUGGCCAGAACGGAAUGGAAAAUCAGAAGAAUGAAUUCUAUUGAAAGGGGAAUUAAGAAGCUCUCUGGUCUCUGGUCAGAAGUGAUUACAAAAUGCCAUCGAAUCAAUCACACAAACUACGAGUACACCCACCGAAAAAUGAUUGUCCAUCCAGAGUUGCUCCACAAAAAGCCGGAGAAUAGGAAACCACAAAAAUAAAAUAAGAAAAGCAUAGAUAUCAGUCUCCCAGCUUUAUGUUUAUUCUUUGCAAUGGAAUAUUUUUGUAUAUCUUGGUUUUAUGAUAAAAUAGUUUAUGCUGCAAUAGUGCAUUAUAAUAGGUUCUUAAGAGUUACUCAACAGGAUGUAUUUAGUUCCAAAAAGAGCAUAAUAUCAUUGAGAACUUAAGCCUCUAGAACUAAACUCUACCCACUUCCUAGAACACCCGUACUGACCUACACCUCUAGAAACUAUAUUUUCUUAAAUGGCCACUUGAAGCAGAGACAGUCUAUAUGGGAGGCCUUAAUUGAUUCAAAAAACCCGAUUGGAUGUCCAGCUUCUAGUUUACAGCUCCCUGAUUACUGUUGAUCAUGAGCAAAUCCCAGUUACGUGAUCACUGCGAUAUAUCCACGUGAGUUGGCCGAUUCACGUGUAUGAACCAAUCGUACCGACAUUCGUUGGUAGUGCCCAGACCCUACCAGACCCUACCAGACCCUAGGCCCCAGACCCCCAACCCUCCUCCGUCGUAGGCCCUUGAGAUUCGCCACCCCACUAUACCCCCUCCAUUAUCAGUAUGCAAAUAUAUAAUAGGGCCCUUAUCAAAUUCUGUGAAUUCGCCUACUAACAUUUUGCCAUGGGAUCGGAUCGGAGCUCACACAUCCAUUGAAUGGCACUGCGACUGGGUUUUGUUUGCACAAACACACUUGCAGCCGAGUACACUUACAGAAAAACUAAGGUAAUCAGUUAGGAGGGGGGGCAACACCAAAAACUGUUACGAAACACUGUCGUCGUUCUCGUUCUCGACUACGUUGUCGUAGUCAGAGUCUCCAGCAACAAGAAAAAAAACUAAACCCCCCACAUCCCACCGCCCUUACUGCAUCGCCUGGCAAGUUAUAGCAACGCCACAGCUAUUUAUAAUUUCGCAGCGAGAGGCGUGCGCGCUGACUCGACGCUCAACGCUCAGCGGUAGCGGUCCGCUUCGGUCACGUGUCGCGAAAUGUGCCCACCGGCAGCGAAGCCGGCCGAGGCAGCG